GUGGGGAAUAUUGGUCAAUGGGCGAAAGCCUGAACCAGCCAUGUCGCGUGAAGGAUGAAGGUCCUAUGGAUUGUAAACUUCUUUUGCAGGAGGGUAAAGUGAGCUACGUGUAGUUCAUUGCAAGUACCCUGCGAAUAAGCAUCGGCUAACUCCGUGCCAGCAGCCGCGGUAAUACGGAGGAUGCGAGCGUUAUCCGGAUUUAUUGGGUUUAAAGGGUGCGUAGGCGGACUAAUUAGUCAGCGGUGAAAUUUUGCGGCUCAACCGUAAAACUGCCGUUGAAACUGUUAGUCUUGAGUGCGGUAGAGGUAGGCGGAAUGUGUGGUGUAGCGGUGAAAUGCUUAGAUAUCACACAGAACACCGAUUGCGUAGGCAGCUUACUGGAGCGCAACUGACGCUGAGGCACGAAAGCGUGGGGAUCGAACAGGAUUAGAAACCCCGGUAGUCC
rnacentral:rRNA from 1 species